GAUGAACGCUAGCUACAGGCUUAACACAUGCAAGUCGAGGGGCAGCAUGUCGUGUGCUUGCACACGAUGAUGGCGACCGGCGCACGGGUGAGUAACGCGUAUCCAACCUGCCCAUGACCCCGGGAUAGCCCGCUGAAAAGCGGAUUAACACCGGAUGUGGUCGAACGAGGACAUCUGAUUUCGACCAAAGCUUCGGCGGUCAUGGAUGGGGAUGCGUCUGAUUAGCUUGUUGGCGGGGUAACGGCCCACCAAGGCUACGAUCAGUAGGGGUUCUGAGAGGAAGGUCCCCCACAUUGGAACUGAGACACGGUCCAAACUCCUACGGGAGGCAGCAGUGAGGAAUAUUGGUCAAUGGGCGGAAGCCUGAACCAGCCAAGUAGCGUGGAGGACGACGGCCCUACGGGUUGUAAACUCCUUUUUUGCGGGGAUAAAGUGCCCUACGCGUAGGGUAUUGCAGGUACCGCACGAAUAAGGACCGGCUAAUUCCGUGCCAGCAGCCGCGGUAAUACGGAAGGUCCGGGCGUUAUCCGGAUUUACUGGGUUUAAAGGGAGCGCAGACGGCUUCUUAAGCGUGCAGUCAAAUACGGAGGCUCAACCUUCGUCAGCUGCGCGAACUGGGGAGCUUGAGUGGACGGUAGGUACGCGGAAUUCGUGGUGUAGCGGUGAAAUGCUUAGAUAUCACGAAGAACCCCGAUUGCGAAGGCAGCGUACCGUAGUCUUACUGACGUUCAUGCUCGAAGGUGCGGGUAUCGAACA
rnacentral:rRNA from 1 species